rnacentral:rRNA from 1 species
UACGGGGGGGGCAAGCGUUGUUCGGAAUUACUGGGCGUAAAGGGCUCGUAGGCGGCCAACUAAGUCAGACGUGAAAUCCCUCGGCUUAACCGGGGAACUGCGUCUGAUACUGGAUGGCUUGAGUUCGGGAGAGGCAAGUGGAAUUCCAGGUGUAGCGGUGAAAUGCGUAGAUAUCUGGAGGAACACCGGUGGCGAAGGCGGCUUCCUGGACCGACACUGACGCUGAGGCGCGAAAGCCAGGGGAGCAAACGGG